GAAGUGCGAUAAGCAAUGCGAAUUGCAGAACCGUGAGUCAUCAGAUUUUUGAACGCAACUGGCGCCGGCUGGCUCUCCAGCCGGCAUGCUUGUUUCAGUGUCUUUUUAUCUCAUCACCCAAAUCAUAAUGCGAGAGAUACCCUUCUCUUGCCAAGCACGAAAGCACUCUGUUCUUUGCGAGCGGCUUCGACUUGUUCGAGGUUCGCACUCAAUGCAGCGGUCACAUUUUACAAUGUGAACUCAUUGAGAGUUAAGGCAGUGCAGCGCAAGCUGCCAGUGCUUAGUCACUCAAACUUUACAUGCAUCUGAAAUCAAGCAGGAUCACCCGCUGAACUUAA
rnacentral:misc_RNA from 1 species